rnacentral:rRNA from 1 species
GACGAACGCUGGCGGCGUGCUUAACACAUGCAAGUCGAGCGGUAAGGCCCUUUCGGGGGUACGACGAGCGGCGAACGGGUGAGUAACACGUGGGUGACCUGCCCUCAGCUCUGGGAUAAGCCUGGGAAACCGGGUCUAAUACCGGAUAUGACUCCAUGACGCAUGUUGUGGGGUGGAAAGCCUUGUGCGGCUGAGGAUGGGCCCGCGGCCUAUCAGCUUGUUGGUGGGGUGAUGGCCUACCAAGGCGACGACGGGUAGCCGGCCU